ensembl:lncRNA
CAACUUCUGAGAAUUUUUAUUGAUGAGUUUUCCAGUUCCCGUGUAACAUUCUCCUUUGUGUGAAAGUCCCAAUAGACAACAGUUGAUCACAGAUUGAGGCAAUGCAGUUUAAAUUAAAGGGGGAGUGUUUCAAAAUAUGACUCAACAGACUAGCGUUCAUCAAACUGUUUAAAAACAUGUCCAUGUCAUUCUAGAUAUCUUGUUAAAUUUGGCCAUGAUAUGAGGACUCUUUAAAAACAGAGUGGCUGUGGAUCAGACUUUUCUUCCCAGGGUUAAAGGUUCUGCGCACGCGGGGGAUUCUCUACUUCCACAGUCUCCGCAGGCAACUCUGAAUGGUUAUCGUUACAUAAAAGUUAGAUCAAAGCUGAAUCAAAGUUUGGAAGAUCACAUGAUAAUUAUACAGAACAGAAACCAAUAUAAUAGUAUGUUACUGUAUGUUUUGUUAAGGAAAAAACAAACACCUGAUUUCAGGAUAAUUGUUUAAAUGGUUGCAUUUCUCUCUCAUGCGGCCAUAACUCAAGUGGGCUAAUAAACAAAAAAAACAAAGUGCUUUGAAACAAACAAAAAAAACAGAUUUGCUACAAUUUAUGAACACCUUCUGCCCUACAAGUCACUCACUGUGCGCCAUUCAAAAACAGUACAUAACUAUGAUCUAUAGAAAAGGUAUACAUCCCAUGAGACUGAUGUUGCAUAGACAAGACGUCUCACUGGUAAAACUUGGAAGAAUUAUCCUUCAUGAAUGACAGUGAGAAAAGUCAAGAGAGGGUGACCACUUGUGCCUAAAGUAGAGACACAUCGCUUGGACAUGAUGUGGAUCUAUCCAGGGAGACGAGGUGGUUCCCCAAGGAUCUACAGCCUAAAACAAUUGGCACAACAAGCCCCCUUGGUAUGUGAAUUCUUCUGAUGCUUACUGAGGAUCUACCUCAGAAUGAUUCGUUGGAUGUUAAGACACUUAUUUGUUGGGAGCGGACUACAUUGUCUAGCCUGGUCCCAGAUCUGUUUGUGCUGUCCUGCCAACUCCUAUGCCAACUCCUAUGGUCAUUGCAUAGAACGCAUGUAUAUAAUAUAUAUAUAUAAUAUAUAUAUAUAUAUAUAUAUAUA